UACAGAGGUCUCAAGCGUUGUUCGGAUUCAUUGGGCGUAAAGGGUGCGUAGGUGGCGCGGUAAGUCGGGUGUGAAAGCCCCGGGCUCAACCUGGGAAUUGCAUUCGAGACUGCAUGGCUAGGGUGCGGAAGAGGGAAGCGGAAUUUCCGGUGUAGCGGUGAAAUGCGUAGAUAUCGGAAGGAACACCAGUGGCGAAAGCGGCUUCCUGGUCCAGCACCGACGUCAGGCACGAAAGCGUGGGGAGCAAACAGG
rnacentral:rRNA from 1 species